UUCGAUAAUACACGAAAAACCUUACCAAGGUUUGACAUCCCUCGCAAAGCUAUAGAAAUAUAGUAGGGGUUAUCGAGGUGACAGGUGGUGCAUGGCUGUCGUCAGCUCGUGUCUUGAGAUGUUUGGUUAAGUCCCGCAACGAGCGCAACCCCACUCUUUAGUUACUUGUCUAAAGAGACUGCACAGUAAUGUGGAGGAAGGAUGGGAUCACGUCAAGUCAUCAUGCCCCUUAUGCCUUGGGCUGCAAACGUGCUACAAUGGCGAACACAAUGUGUUGCAAACCAGCGAUGGUAAGCUAAUCACCAAAUUUCGUCUCAGUUCGGAUAGGAGGCUGCAAUUCGCCUCCUUGAAGUUGGAAUCACUAGUAAUC
rnacentral:rRNA from 1 species